rnacentral:rRNA from 1 species
UGGCUCAGGAUGAACGCUGGCGGCGUGCUUAACACAUGCAAGUCGAACGGUGAAGCAGAGCUUGCUCUGUGGAUCAGUGGCGAACGGGUGAGUAACACGUGAGCAACCUGCCCCUGACUCUGGGAUAAGCGCUGGAAACGGCGUCUAAUACUGGAUAUGAGCUGCGACCGCAUGGUCAGCAGUUGGAAAGAUUUUUCGGUCUGGGAUGGGCUCACGGCCUAUCAGCUUGUUGGUGAGGUAAUGGCUCACCAAGGCGUCGACGGGUAGCCGGCCUGAGAGGGUGACCGGCCACACUGGGACUGAGACACGGCCCAGACUCCUACGGGAGGCAGCAGUGGGGAAUAUUGCACAAUGGGCGAAAGCCUGAUGCAGCAACGCCGCGUGAGGGAUGACGGCCUUCGGGUUGUAAACCUCUUUUAGCAGGGAAGAAGCGAAAGUGACGGUACCUGCAGAAAAAGCGCCGGCUAACUACGUGCCAGCAGCCGCGGUAAUACGUAGGGCGCAAGCGUUAUCCGGAAUUAUUGGGCGUAAAGAGCUCGUAGGCGGUUUGUCGCGUCUGCUGUGAAAUCCCGAGGCUCAACCUCGGGUCUGCAGUGGGUACGGGCAGACUAGAGUGCGGUAGGGGAGAUUGGAAUUCCUGGUGUAGCGGUGGAAUGCGCAGAUAUCAGGAGGAACACCGAUGGCGAAGGCAGAUCUCUGGGCCGUUACUGACGCUGAGGAGCGAAAGGGUGGGGAGCAAACAGGCUUAGAUACCCUGGUAGUCCACCCCGUAAACGUUGGGAACUAGUUGUGGGGUCCAUUCCACGGAUUCCGUGACGCAGCUAACGCAUUAAGUUCCCCGCCUGGGGAGUACGGCCGCAAGGCUAAAACUCAAAGGAAUUGACGGGGACCCGCACAAGCGGCGGAGCAUGCGGAUUAAUUCGAUGCAACGCGAAGAACCUUACCAAGGCUUGACAUAUACGAGAACGGGCCAGAAAUGGUCAACUCUUUGGACACUCGUAAACAGGUGGUGCAUGGUUGUCGUCAGCUCGUGUCGUGAGAUGUUGGGUUAAGUCCCGCAACGAGCGCAACCCUCGUUCUAUGUUGCCAGCACGUAAUGGUGGGAACUCAUGGGAUACUGCCGGGGUCAACUCGGAGGAAGGUGGGGAUGACGUCAAAUCAUCAUGCCCCUUAUGUCUUGGGCUUCACGCAUGCUACAAUGGCCGGUACAAAGGGCUGCAAUACCGUGAGGUGGAGCGAAUCCCAAAAAGCCGGUCCCAGUUCGGAUUGAGGUCUGCAACUCGACCUCAUGAAGUCGGAGUCGCUAGUAAUCGCAGAUCAGCAACGCUGCGGUGAAUACGUUCCCGGGUCUUGUACACACCGCCCGUCAAGUCAUGAAAGUCGGUAACACCUGAAGCCGGUGGCCCAACCCUUGUGGAGGGAGCCGUCGAAGGUGGGAUUGGUAAUUAGGACUAAGUCGUAA